CUUUCUUAUCGUGGGCCGUGGCAUCAUACAAGCAAAAGUGUUAAAACUUAAAAGUGUUUCUUUAUAGUUGUCCACUUGUCCAGUACCCUUCUUUACCAAUACUCUAUUAGGCAUUCAGAUUUGAGACUUUAGAAAUAGAAACCCUAACGUCUAAAAGUGUUAAUUUCAGUAUUACACCCAGCAGCCAGAGCAGCAGACUCACUAUCUCCCUCUCGCCAACUCGCCAACUCGUCGUCUCGCCUCUCCCUGUCGUCAUAGCCAGAGCUCAGAGAAGCAGAUGGUAAGUUUCUUUUCUUGUUGAAAUUCCAACUGUUGCCUUCUCUGCCUUGUGCUAUUUUGAGAUCAAUUUUGACAGUUUUUGUUUAAAUAUCUAUUAAGGAAAUGGUUAUUUUCAUUCCUUUUCUUUUCUUGUUGUAGUGACUCAUAGCAUGGCUGAAAAUAUACAAAGUGAUAAGAUGAUGGGUGAAAGUGGGGCUUCUAAUUCAAAUGCAAUAAGCCAAUCUGAAACAACGGAGUCAAAUAUAACCAAAAAAAGGAAAAAAAAGGUUUAUUGUGUGGGAUCAUUUUACAGAAAUUAUUACUUCCAAAGGGAGUACAAAAG
rnacentral:lncRNA from 1 species